GACGAACGCUGGCGGCGUGCCUAAUACAUGCAAGUAGAACGCUGAAGGAGGAGCUUGCUUCUCUGGAUGAGUUGCGAACGGGUGAGUAACGCGUAGGUAACCUACCUGGUAGCGGGGGAUAACUAUUGGAAACGAUAGCUAAUACCGCAUAAGAGUAGAUGUCGCAUGACAUUUGCUUAAAAGGUGCAAUUGCAUCACUACCAGAUGGACCUGCGUUGUAUUAGCUAGUUGGUGAGGUAACGGCUCACCAAGGCAACGAUACAUAGCCGACCUGAGAGGGUGAUCGGCCACACUGGGACUGAGACACGGCCCAGACUCCUACGGGAGGCAGCAGUAGGGAAUCUUCGGCAAUAGACGGAAGUCUGACCGAGCAACGCCGCGUGAGUGAAGAAGGUUUUCGGAUCGUAAAGCUCUGUUGUAAGAGAAGAACGAGUGUGAGAGUGGAAAGUUCACACUGUGACGGUAUCUUACCAGAAAGGGACGGCUAACUACGUG
rnacentral:rRNA from 1 species